CAUUACCGAGUUGCAAAACUCCCCCACCAUUGUGAACCAUACCUAGUUGCUUCGGCAGCAGCGAUGCUGCCGACGGCCCCUCCAACCUCUCUCAUUUUUUAGGCUUCUCUGAGUUGACCACAACAAUCAGUUAAAACUUUCAACAACGGAUCUCUUGGUUCUGGCAUCGAUGAAGAACGCAGCGAAAUGCGAUAAGUAAUGUGAAUUGCAGAAUUCAGUGAAUCAUCGAAUCUUUGAACGCACAUUGCGCCCGCCAGUACUCUGGCGGGCAUGCCUGUCCGAGCGUCAUUUCCACCAUCAAGCUCUCUUGCUUGUGUUGAGGCCUUCUGCGGCUGCCGCAGUCCUCGAAAAUCAUUGGCGGGCUCGUUGUUCAACGGAGUGCAGUACAUCCUAUUCGCUCUCGUGAUGCAGCGUUCCUUGCCGUAAAACCCCCCCCCUUCUCCAAAGGUUGACCUCGGAUCAGGUAGGAAUACCCGCUGAACUUAAGCAUAUCAAUAAGCGGAGGAAAAGAAACCAACAGGGAUUGCCUCAGUAACGGCGAGUGAAGCGGCAACAGCUCAAAUUUGAAAUCUGGCUCCGGCCCGAGUUGUACUUUGCAGAGGAAGAUUCUGGUGAGGUACCUGCUGAGUCUCCUGGAACGGAGCGCCGUAGAGGGUGAGAGCCCCGUAUAGCAGGACGCCGAGCCUUUGUGAAUCCCCUUCGACGAGUCGAGUAGUUUGGGAAUGCUGCUCCAAAUGGGAGGUAAAUUCCUUCUAAAGCUAAAUACUGGCCAGAGACCGAUAGCGCACAAGUAGAGUGAUCGAAAGAUGAAAAGCACUUUGAAAAGAGGGUUAAACAGCACGUGAAAUUGUUGAAAGGGAAGCGCUCAUGAUCAGACUUGGGCCGUAGCGAUCAUCCGCUCUUCUGAGUGGUGCACUCGCUCCGGCACAGGCCAGCAUCGGUUCUCGCGGGGGGAUAAAAGCUCGGGGAA
rnacentral:rRNA from 1 species